UACGAACGCUGGCGGCGUGCUUAACACAUGCAAGUCGAGCGGUAAGGCCCUUUCGGGGGUACGACGAGCGGCGAACGGGUGAGUAACACGUGGGUGACCUGCCCUCAGCUCUGGGAUAAGCCUGGGAAACCGGGUCUAAUACUGGAUAUGACUCCAUGACGCAUGUUGUGGGGUGGAAAGCCUUGUGCGGCUGAGGAUGGGCCCGCGGCCUAUCAGCUUGUUGGUGGGGUGAUGGCCUACCAAGGCGACGACGGGUAGCCGGCCUGAGAGGGCGACCGGCCACACUGGGACUGAGACACGGCCCAGACUCCUACGGGAGGCAGCAGUGGGGAAUCUUGCGCAAUGGGCGAAAGCCUGACGCAGCGACGCCGCGUGAGGGAUGACGGCCU
rnacentral:rRNA from 1 species